AUGAAGAGCAGGAGGCAGAGCGGCCGCGCCGGUGGCCUGGCCGUGGACACCACAAGCAGCGGCUGCGGCGGCGGCGGCGUCGUAGGGGGAGGAGGCUGCAGCGCCAGCAAGAUGGAGCGCAAGGACGUGGAGAAGAACCGGCGGCUGCACAUGAAGGGACUCUGCCUCAAGCUCUCCUCCCUCGUCCCGCCCUCCUCCGCACACCACCUCCGCCACUAUUCUUCUACUUGUUCCUCGCCGCCGUCCAGCAACAAGGACGCGGCGACGCAGCUGGACCAGCUGGACAGCGCGGCGGCCUACAUCAAGCAGCUCCGGGCCCGGAUCGACCACCUCAAGCGCCGCAAGCAGGCCGCCCUCACCGGCGGCUGCUCAUCCUCCGUCUCCGCGGGCGACUACAAGGGAGCUCCUUCAACUUCAACGGCGCUGCCGGUGAUCGAGGUGCGGUGCCAGGACGGGUCGGCGCUGGACGUGGCGCUGGCGAGCGAGGCCGGGCGUCCCUUCCGGCUGCACGAGGUGAUCGCGGUGCUGGAGCAGGAGGGCGCCGAGGUGGUCAGCGCCAGCUUCUCCGUCGUGGGCGACAAGAUCUUCUACACGGUCCACUCCCAGGCGCUCUGCCCCCGCAUCGGCCUCGACGCCGGCCGGGUCGCCCAGAGGCUCCGCGGCCUCGCCGCGGCCGCAGCCACCGUCUCGACGCUGCUGACAUGCUGA
rnacentral:rRNA from 1 species